rnacentral:rRNA from 1 species
GUCCACGCUGUAAACGAUGAUCACUAGACGUUGGAACUGCUCUGCAGUUUCAGUGUCGAAGCUAACGCGAUAAGUGAUCCGCCUGGGGAGUACGGUCGCAAGAUUAAAACUCAAAGAAAUUGACGGGGGUCCGCACAAGCGGUGGAACAUGUGGUUUAAUUCGACACUACGCGAGGAACCUUACCUAGGCUUGACAUGUAUUUGACCACUCUAGAGAUAGAGUUUUUCAGGGGUAACCCUGAACAGAUACACAGGUGCUGCAUGGCUGUCGU